rnacentral:lncRNA from 1 species
AGAAGUCUGCUGAAUACUCCCACGGAGGUCCAGAUGGCUGAUCUUAUAGUCACUGAGAGACAGGAGUUCAUUCUGGAUUUGAAUGGUGGGUGGGGCCUGACUGUCAGACAGGCUAUGAGGACCAAGCUGUCCCAAGGUGGCCUCAUCACAGCUGGGUCGGACUCUGUGUUGUUGCUGCUGGGUGAUUUGGGACAAUGGGGCUUGGGUGGAAGCCAUGGAAGGAAUAUUUCCUGAGCCAGCCAGGACCUGGGGUACUUUGGGGAGAGCCUUGAGGGCCACCCCUCAUGACUUUAGGUGGAGAAACAGUGGAGUCAGCUCUCCUGAUUCCCAGUGGGUGGGCCAUCCCUGGGAAACUAGGCAGCCAUCCACACGGCGUGGCCCAGUGGAUUCACACCUCAGGUCCUUACCUCUGCUUUAGAAGAUGGCUUUGCUCUUCUUGGAAGUGGCAGAAUGCCAUUUCAUUGGCAUGGUUUUCUUGGGGUUGCAUGGUUUUGGCCAAGGUGUUCGCACUGUUAUCAAAGGUGGAAAACUAUUUGAGGAAGAGAAGGGCACAUGUGGAAACCUGUCCCCAGACUGAGAUCUUAACUGACUAGCCUCACGACAGUGACCAUACAAAGAUCCUAGAGGCCUCCGAAGACACCCAGCCCCCAAGGGGCACCCAGGCUCCACCAGGACUGUCACUGUGUUGUCAUGUGCCGAUCACUAAUUACUGCUGAGGAUGGAGCUGACUGAGCUCCCUGGACGUGGGCUCUAAGUUCUUCCAAGCCCACCUCAGUGCAAGCCCAACUCUCUCUGACUAGAUUUC